rnacentral:lncRNA from 1 species
CGUUUACUUUACUACAUUGGUUAGAGGUAUAGGGGGAGGGUUGAGAUCUCACAAACAUGUUUAACCCCGCCGCAUUUUUGCGCCUGUCCCAAGUCAGGAGCCUCUGGCCUUUGUUAGUCUUGUAUUAUUUUAAUUUUAGUUUCUUGUGUACAAUUUGGAAAUUAGUAUGGCAUUCAUUAUCACUGGACUAGUAUAUAUUUGUUUAGGGGCCAGCUGAGGGACGCCUCCGGGUGCGGGAGUUUCUCGCUGCAUUGAAGACCUGUUGGUGACCCUCUGCUGUUGUUUUUUAUUUGGUCGGGUUGUUGUCUCUUUGACACAUUCCCCAUUUCCAUUCUCAAUUUUAUUU